UACGGGGGGGAGCAAGCGUUGUUCGGAUUUACUGGGCGUAAAGGGUGCGUAGGUGGCGCUGUAAGUCAGGUGUGAAAUUUCGGAGCUUAACUCCGAAACUGCACUUGAUACUGCGGUGCUUGAGGACUGGAGAGGAGACUGGAAUUUACGGUGUAGCAGUGAAAUGCGUAGAUAUCGUAAGGAAGACCAGUGGCGAAGGCGGGUCUCUGGACAGUUCCUGACACUGAGGCACGAAGGCCAGGGGAGCAAACGGG
rnacentral:rRNA from 1 species